UACGUAGGGUGCGAGCGUUAAUCGGAAUUACUGGGCGUAAAGCGUGCGCAGGCGGUUCGCUGUGUCCAAUGUGAAAGCCCCGGGCUUAACCUGGGAAUGGCAUUGGAAACUGGCGGGCUUGAGUGUGGCAGAGGGGGGUGGAAUUCCGCGUGUAGCAGUGAAAUGCGUAGAGAUGCGGAGGAACACCGAUGGCGAAGGCAGCCCCCUGGGCUAACACUGACGCUCAGGCACGAAAGCGUGGGGAGCAAACAGG
rnacentral:rRNA from 1 species